GCCAGCAUGGCAUAGUGGUUUGAGCAUUGGAUUAUGACUCUCGAGACCAGGGUUUGAUUCCCAGCUUGGCC
rnacentral:tRNA from 1 species